ACCCCAAACCGACACAGGUGGUCAGGUAGAGAAUACCAAGGCGCUUGAGAGAACUCGGGUGAAGGAACUAGGCAAAAUGGUGCCGUAACUUCGGGAGAAGGCACGCUGAUAUGUAGGUGAAGUCCCUUGCGGAUGGAGCUGAAAUCAGUCGAAGAUACCAGCUGGCUGCAACUGUUUAUUAAAAACACAGCACUGUGCAAACACGAAAGUGGACGUAUACGGUGUGACGCCUGCCCGGUGCCGGAAGGUUAAUUG
rnacentral:rRNA from 1 species